UCCUAGCCUCAAACGAUGCGGACUAGGUGCUUCUUGAACUUCGAGUUCAGGAGAUACUGAAAGGAAACCAUUAAGUCCGCCGCCUGGGGAGUACGGCCGCAAGGCUGAAACUUAAAGGAAUUGGCGGGGGAGCACCACAAGGGGUGGAGUCUGCGGUUCAAUUGGAUACAACGCCGGGAAACUUACCAGGAACGACGGCAUAAUGAUAGUCAGUCUGAAGGGCUUACUUGAAG
rnacentral:rRNA from 1 species